rnacentral:rRNA from 1 species
GACGGGGGAUGCAAGCGUUAUCCGGAAUUACUGGGCGUAAAGCGCGUGUAGGCGGUGAUGCAAGUGUCCUGUGAAAUACCCCGGCUCAACCGGGGAAAAGCAAGGGAAACUGUAGGGCUUGAGUGCGGGAGAGGCGGAAGGAACUCUGGGUGGAGCGGUGAAAUGCGUAGAUACCCAGAGGAACGCCGGAGGCGAAAGCGGGACGCUGGACCGAUACUGACGCUGAGACGCGAAAGCGUGGGGAGCAAACAGG